GCUUUCCUGUGGCUCAGUUGGUGGAGCAUAACACUAACAAUACAAAGAUCGUGGGUUCAUAUCGCAGGGAAAGCA